rnacentral:lncRNA from 1 species
GAUUAAGAUUUGGUUAGGGAUUAAGAUUUGGUUAGGGAUUAAGAUUUGGUUAGGGAUUAAGGUUUGGUUAGGAUUUGAUUUAGGGUUUAGGAUUUGGUUUAGGAUUUAGGAUUCGGAUUGGGGUUUGGUUUAGGAUUUAGGAUUUGGAUAGGGUUUGGUUUAGGGUUUAGGAUUUGGAUUAGGACUUGAUUAAGGAUUAAGGUUUGAUUAGGAUUUGAUUUAAGAUUUAGGAUUUGUUUAGGGUUUGAUUAAGGUUGGAUUAGGAUUAGGAUUUGGUUAGAAUUUAAGGUUCUAUUAGAUUUUUGUUAGGGUUUGACUAAGUUUUCUUUAAUAUUCUUUUAUAUUUCUUUAGGAUUUCCUUGUGUUUCUUUUAUAACUUUAAUAAAAUUUAAUUGAACUUGCUUAAUGUUUGAUUAUGAUUAUUAACGUUUAAUUAUAAAUUCUCUAUAAUCCUAUUGGAUUGUUAGGACCUUUUGUUGCAAUUUUCUUUUACCUUCCACAGCCAAGUGCUCGGUGCAUUCUCAAGCAAGACUUCACGUAAUACAAUAGCGUAUAUCUUAAAAAUGCUCUAUUGAAGUGCAUUUUGUAAACACAUUGCAUGGUACGAGCAUUAGAUGUAGAGGGCAGUGGUAAACAAGAAUUAGAGGCAAGCAAAAAGGUGUUAUCAGAGCAGACCCGAAGAAUUGAAGAGCAAGAACGGAUCAUCCAGGCAAAUACAAAAUCCAAGUUGUUAUUG